rnacentral:rRNA from 4 species
GGGUUGUGAGGUUAAGCGACUAAGCGUACACGGUGGAUGCCCUGGCAGUCAGAGGCGAUGAAGGGCGUGCUAAUCUGCGAUAAGCGCCGGUAAGGUGAUAUGAACCGUUAUAACCGGCGAUACCCGAAUGGGGAAACCCAGUGUGAUUCGUCACACUAUCAUUAACUGAAUCCAUAGGUUAAUGAGGCGAACCGGGGGAACUGAAACAUCUAAGUACCCCGAGGAAAAGAAAUCAACCGAGAUUCCCCCAGUAGCGGCGAGCGAACGGGGAGGAGCCCAGAGCCUGAAUCAGCAUGUGUGUUAGUGGAAGCGUCUGGAAAGGCGCGCGAUACAGGGUGACAGCCCCGUACACAAAAGCGCAUAUGCUGUGAGCUCGAUGAGUAGGGCGGGACACGUGGUAUCCUGUCUGAAUAUGGGGGGACCAUCCUCCAAGGCUAAAUACUCCUGACUGACCGAUAGUGAACCAGUACCGUGAGGGAAAGGCGAAAAGAACCCCGGCGAGGGGAGUGAAAAAGAACCUGAAACCGUGUACGUACAAGCAGUGGGAGCCCCACCACCAAAGCAUUCUCUGGUGUUGAAGGCCCUGCAAAGCAGCAUCGCGGUGGCGGAGCGUCGUUUGCGACGCCCAACACACAAAACAAGCGGUGAAUGCUUUGGGGUGGGGUGACUGCGUACCUUUUGUAUAAUGGGUCAGCGACUUAUAUUCUGUAGCAAGGUUAACCGAAUAGGGGAGCCG